rnacentral:miRNA from 1 species
UCUAAAUUAUAGGACGUCUUG